CGUCGGCUAAGUAUCAAGCUAAGACCCAUCGUUUGUCCUGCAGAGAUCACUAACUGGCAAACUCUAGCCAAAUUUUCAAUAAGGUCCGGCUACACGACUUCCGUGAGUAGAGGCUUGAGGGGCCUGAUGCGUCGACGGAGCUGCUGCUACCCAACAGCAGUAGGCAGAGCCUUUUUCCUAAAAUCUGCAUGUACUCGUGUCUGAGUGCAGUGUGCAUCCGCCCGACCCAGAUAGCGAUAAGCAUGGGUGAAGGGUGCUACAGAGGGAAGAACCAGUGAAAUUCCAGAGGAGCUGCAGAAGAUCCAGCCAGGCAAGUGGGUGUACAUCCAGGUGUUCAAGAGCGAAUGGAAUGAGCUAAAGAGAGAAAGCCCAUUCAGGGUGUUCUUGAUAACUCCAACUGCCCUUAAGGUUGAGGGAAAGAAGGUCCGGUACCACCUCAACCACUGCAGCAGAUCAGAGGAACCAGGCCAGAGACAAGUGAGUGACAUCGGAGAUCAGCAGGCUACCAACCAAGGGGAGGCAUUGGUGGUGAGGAUUGUGAUGGACAAUAAAACCUGACCUCGUCACCAACAGCCAGGCCUUGGUAUCCUUUCAGGAGGAUGGGCUGUGGCAUAAGGGGCUGCGUAUGUGCAUUGUUACUUAUCAGCAUGCCUAUUCUACUCCCUAUUCUGUGCAAACUGGAAGGGAAAAGUACAGCAAAAGUGUAUAUACUAACAUCCAACCCACUGAGUAAGACCAACUACUAUGUCAAUGAUGCCCAGGUCCUGACAUUUCUAGCUAUAGCUAAAACAAAAGUAAUUAGCUCUAACAAACAAAAACCUAAUUGUACACUAGCAACAGCAAUGUUAUCUGCCUCACAAAGUAGACUGCCUUUGGGAGAGACAGUAUUUUUGACCUAACACCAGCCCCUUCAUUUAUCCUGUAUAACAGCCAAAGUACUAAACUGGCCAGCUAUGCAAGGCCCACUAAUGCACAGGAGAUGCAGCGGUACAGGGGAAGUGAUGGUACAGAUACGAUAUCUGAGUGAUCACUGUGUACAUGUUGAUUUAUAUAAAUUUAUGAGCAAGGGGAGAUCACAAUGUAUGGUUGGGCCAACAGGAAUACAGGACAGAAGCAGAAAGUGUUAAAAAUGACACACAAAUCGACCAACUAUGGAGUAAAGAACGUACGUCACGAUGGCAGAGAAAUGUGUUCUAUCGAUGUUUGAAAUACUUAGCUGAGCAAGUGAACAAAGAGACAUGCAUAACAUUCUAUAAUAUGGGGAAAACUCCCCAAGUAAGGCAACUGCCUUUUACACCAGAGGAAUGCAAGGGAGAAUGGCUAAAGUUUGUUAUGAUUAAUGACACACUAUUUAAUUGACAGUGUGUAUUGUAGUACUUAUCCAGAAUUGGUCCACAACUUAUGGUUAAACAUUUUCAGGAAUGUCAAGAUGUGUUUGUCCAGGAGGAGAAGGAAGUAGUUUUAAUGCGGCCAGUAGUGAAAAUACCUAAGAACAUUGAGUUUCCAUUCUGUAUCAUAAGACGCAAGGAGCUGGAAGAAAUAAUGACUGAGUUUAUGAAAACGGGCUCAGUAAGGUAAAAGAACUUAAAAGAGAAGAGAAGAUUGUGGAUUUCAUAUUGGCAAGAGCUGUUUGGUAUACCUAAUGAGCAUAAAGCAAUCUCAGACAUUUUAUCGCCAGAUGGUCCAUUUGCAGGAAUGACAGCAACAAGGAAUGGGCAAUGGAUAAACUAUUUGUGGUAUAAUCAGCAAAGGUUUAUCAAUUUUACCGUGCAAGCAAUAGAGCGGGUAAAAGAACAGCUGCAUGCCACAAGCACUUUGACACUUCAGAAUAGAUUCAUCCUUGACACCAUGUUAGCUUAAGAGCAGGGAGUAUGCAUGCGCAAUGGGGAAGAAUGUUGCACAGUUAUCCCAAUGCAAGCAGGACAGGAUGGUAACCUAACAAUGGUGUUAGAAAAUCUGAAAAACCUAAGAGAUGAGCAUGUCACAAAGGCAGAACCAGAGGGUUGGUCAUGAGUGGAAGACAUAUUGGUUGAUGAAUUUGGAAAAUGGGAGGUAGACCCCAACUUCAAUUUGCCAAUAAAAAGGAUAGUCAAUCUGUGUUCAAUAGAAAUGCAAACUUAGAUGAUUGAGAAAAAUACAUUAAUUGUAAUUGUAGUAAGACCAUAGUACCUGAAGUCACAUUACUGAAACAAGAUACUUACUGAGGCUGCAAAUAACAUUCCAGUAUCCAGCCUUUUCAGACUGGUGCUGUAAAGACCCUACAUUCUUUAUAGGGCAUCAUGUGAUUACCAGAGUAUGGUAGAGUCUUAGUGUGAUCAAGUUUAUGGUAGGGUUUGACAUAAUCUGGACAAACAUGCCACGUGCUCCUGGAAACCAAACUGGAGUAGUUUCCCUCAUGGGUGGACCCAAGGUACUUACAUUGCUGUGCAUCGUAAGUGCUAGUAACCUCUCCACAGCAAUGGUCCCCUGCAGUGUGUCUAACACUUGGGCUGAAGACAGAGACAGUGGUGUUGACUACAGAUUGCACUAAAACAAUGGACAUUUUCCAGUGAGACACUGUAAUAUCUGUAAUAAUCUAGGAAACAUGUAAUCGUUGGAACUUUAUUCUGGUGAUUUUCAUCGUUACUGGUCCCUCUUUUAGAGAGAGUGUAAUUGUGUUUCAGUUUUUUCAUUCUUACCAAUAUAAUGUUUUGUUACCAAUUUACAAUUGGCUUGCGCAACAUAUGUUAGCAGAAAAAUAACAUUUAUACAAUAUAAUGUUUAUUGAUUAGGGGCAGGAGCACAGUGUGGCUUUUACUCCAUCCAAGCCAAACAGACAGGAGAUGUUUAUGAGGGUUGUGCUCAUACUCUGCUGACAAAUCUCUCUCCAAGUGAGAGUCAUCGUCUUAAUGAUCACUGAUGCCAUGAGUCAGCGACUCCUGCAUGGUUGGACAAACUCUGUCAACAGGAGAUAGGGAAAGGUGUGUCAAGGUGUUACAAUAUGUGUGUGACUUACAAGGCAUAAAGAGGGGAAUUAUGUGGGAAAUG